rnacentral:misc_RNA from 1 species
GAUGAAGAACGCAGCGAAAUGCGAUAAGUAAUGUGAAUUGCAGAAUUCAGUGAGUCAUCGAAUCUUUGAACGCACAUUGCGCCCUGUGGUAUUCCGCAGGGCAUGCCUGUUCGAGCGUCAUUUCAACCCUCAAGCUCUGCUUGGUGUUGGGCCACGCCCCCGCGGCCGGCCCCAAAGCUAGUGGCGGUGCCGUCUGGCUCUAAGCGUAGUACAUCUCUCGCUCUAGGGCCCGGCGGUUGCUUGCCAGAACCCACACUCUUAUGGUUGACCUCGGAUCAGGUAGGGAUACCCGCUGAACUUAAGCAUAUCAAUAAGCGGAGGA